UACGAAGGGGGCUAGCGUUGCUCGGAAUCACUGGGCGUAAAGGGUGCGUAGGCGGGUUCUUAAGUCAGAGGUGAAAUCUUGGAGCUCAACUCCAGAACUGCCUUUGAUACUGAGAGUCUUGAGUUCGGGAGAGGUGAGUGGAACUGCGAGUGUAGAGGUGAAAUUCGUAGAUAUUCGCAAGAACACCAGUGGCGAAGGCGGCUCACUGGCCCGAUACUGACGCUGAUGCACGAAAGCGUGGGGAGCAAACAGG
rnacentral:rRNA from 1 species